rnacentral:rRNA from 1 species
AUUGAACGCUGGCGGCAGGCUUAACACAUGCAAGUCGAGCGAGCGGCGGACGGGUGAGUAAUGUCUGGGAAACUGCCUGAUGGGGGGGGAUAAAUACUGGAAACGGUAGCUAAUACCGCAUACAAUAAGAUGUGCCAAGAUGGGAUUAGCUGGUAGGGGGGGUAAUGGCUCACCUAGGCGACGAUCCCUAGCUGGUCUGAGAGGAGGACCAGCCACACUGGAGCUGAGACACGGUCCAGACGCCUACGGUAGGCAGCAGGGGGGAAUAUUGCACAAUGUGCGCAAGCCUGAUGCAGCCAUUCAGCGUUUGUGAAGAAGGCCUUCGGGUUUGAAAGCACGUUCAGCGAGUAGGCGUUACUCGCAGAAGAAGCACCGGCUAACUCCGUGCCAGCAGCCGCGGUAAUUC